UUUUUAUACUUUGUGUAUAAAUUUUGAAACUUUAGUGAGUAGGAAAGGUACAAUGGUAUGCGUAGAAGUUUUGGGGUAAAGCCUGCAUGGAGCUGCCAUUGGUACAGAUCUUGGUGGUAGUAGCAAAUAAUCGAAUGAGACCUUGGAGGACUGAAGUGGAGAAGGGUUUCGUGUGAACAGUGGUUGAUCACGAGUUAGUCGGUCCUAAGUUCAAGGCGAAAGCCGAAAAUUUUCAAGUAAAACAAAAAUGCCUAACUAUAUAAACAAAGCGAAUAUAAUACACUUGAAUAAUUUUGAACGAAAGGGAAUACGGUUCCAAUUCCGUAACCUGUUGAGUAUCCGUUUGUUAUUAAAUAUGGGCCUCGUGCUCAUCCUGGCAACAGGAACGACCAUAAAGAAGCCGUCGAGAGAUAUCGGAAGAGUUUUCUUUUCUGUUUUAUAGCCGUACUACCAUGGAAGUCUUUCGCAGAGAGAUAUGGUAGAUGGGCUAGAAGAGCAUGACAUAUACUGUUGUGUCGAUAUUUUCUCCUCGGACCUUGAAAAUUUAUGGUGGGGACACGCAAACUUCUCAACAGGCCGUACCAAUAUCCGCAGCUGGUCUCCAAGGUGAAGAGUCUCUAGUCGAUAGAAUAAUGUAGGUAAGGGAAGUCGGCAAAUUAGAUCCGUAACUUCGGGAUAAGGAUUGGCUCUGAAGAUUGAGAUAGUCGGGCUUGAUUGGGAAACAAUAACAUGGUUUAUGUGCUCGUUCUGGGUAAAUAGAGUUUCUAGCAUUUAUGUUAGUUACUUGUUCCCCGGAUAGUUUAGUUACGUAGCCAAUUGUGGAACUUUCUUGCUAAAAUUUUUAAGAAUACUAUUUGGGUUAAACCAAUUAGUUCUUAUCAAUUAUAACGAUUAUCAAUUAACAAUCAAUUCAGAACUGGCACGGACUUGGGGAAUCCGACUGUCUAAUUAAAACAAAGCAUUGUGAU
rnacentral:ncRNA from 1 species